rnacentral:rRNA from 1 species
AUUGAACGCUGGCGGCAGGCCUAACACAUGCAAGUCGAAUGGUAACAGGAAACAGCUUGCUGUUUCGCUGACGAGUGGCGGACGGGUGAGUAAUGUCUGGGAAACUGCCUGAUGGAGGGGGAUAACUACUGGAAACGGUAGCUAAUACCGCAUAACGUCGCAAGACCAAAGAGGGGGACCUUCGGGCCUCUUGCCAUCAGAUGUGCCCAGAUGGGAUUAGCUAGUAGGUGGGGUAACGGCUCACCUAGGCGACGAUCCCUAGCUGGUCUGAGAGGAUGACCAGCCACCCUGGAACUGAGACACGGUCCAGACUCCUACGGGAGGCAGCAGUGGGGAAUAUUGCACAAUGGGCGAAAGCCUGAUGCAGCCAUGCCGCGUGUAUGAAGAAGGCCUUCGGGUUGUAAAGUACUUUCAGCGGGGAGGAAGGGAGUAAAGUUAAUACCUUUGCUCAUUGACGUUACCCGCAGAAGAAGCACCGGCUAACUCCGUG